UAGAGGUCACCGUGACCCAAAACUUCCUGCGUUCUCAGGCCUGGCAACGCCUGCCAAAGCUAGCCAUGGUGGGGGUAGGGGAGCGCCGCUUGUGGGGAGCUGACCAAGUGUGGUGUCGGCCGCCCUGCCUGCCAACAGACAGCAACACUGGUUUUCCACUGCCGGCCAUUCAUUGGACUUGGACAGCUUUGUUCCUUCUCUGGGACCAAGUCAACAAGCUGGGACCAGAGGAGCUGCGGCUGUAGCACGCAGGGACCGAACAAAAGAGCAAAUAUACAGAUAUCCCUGGAAGCCAGAGUUCUUGGAAGGAAGAAAUACACAUACAGAAUGGGAGAAGGCAAGGAAAAACCCUGUAAGGUUGGGAUGCAUUCAGAGAAAUAGAAACUUCUGAUUCCAUAUAGGCCUUCCUUCAUCCCCUCAACCCUCAGCUUUGUGGCCUCUAUCUUGGACUGUCAAAGGCCAGUUUAAACAAUGGUCACACAGAGAUUCACACUUCUCGCAAGCCCCAACUCAAUCUCCUGCCAUGUUUUUCAGGUAAUUGCCUUUGCUCCUACUAACUUUAGAUUGGUUGGAAUAUCUCCUUUUCAAUAAUGUAAGAUUCUGGAAUACCUAGAUGCUCAGCUAUCUUAGAUUUCAAGCUGUAGCCACGAAGAAUUUUUUUAAUAAAACUGUCGUAUUGUUCUCUUUCUCUCUCUUUCUUACUAUACGUUGAUUUAAAUUUUUAUUGAAAUCAUUUGGAUUCAAAUGCAAUUGUGAGAAAUAAUACAUAUAUCCUUAAGAAACCUUACCCAGUUUCUCCAGUGGUAACAUUUUGCAAAACUAUACUAUCAUAGCACAAUCAGGAUAUUGACAUUGAUACGAACUGGCAAUCGUAAUCAAAUAUCCCCAGAGAAGGGGACUUAUACUUAUUUUUAUGCACAUUCAUGAGUGUGUGUGUUUAGUUCUAUUCAAUUUUAUUACAUGUAUAGGUUCAUAUAGCCAUCACCACAGACAAGGUACUGAACAGUUCCCUCAUCCAAGGGUUCCUUGUGUUGACCUUUCAUAAUGAUACUCACCCCUCUCCUGCCUAUACCUCUUUCAUCACGACUCCCUGGCAACCACUUAUUUGUCCUCCAUUUCUAACAUUUUGUCAUUUCAUAAGCGUUAUAUAAAUUAAAUCAUACAGUAUGUAACUUGAAAUUAUUUCUGUCAGUCGAAUUCACUGGACAUUCUUCCAAGCAGUGUGUAUUUCUUAUUGUUUUUCCUUUUUUUCUUUUUUUGAAAUGGAGUCUCGCUCUGUCACCAGGCUGGAGUGCAGUGGCGUGAUCUCUGCUCACUGCAACCUCCACCUCCCAGGUUCAACCGAUUCUCCUGCCUCAGCCUCCCGAGUAGCUGGGACUACAGACACGUGGCACCACCACAUCCAGCUAAUUUUUGUGUUUUUAGUGGAGACAGGGUUUCACCAUGUUGGCCAGGAUGGUCUCGAUCUCUUGACCUCGUGCUGGUAUUACAG
rnacentral:lncRNA from 1 species